UACGGAGGGUGCAAGCGUUGUUCGGAAUUAUUGGGCGUAAAGGGCAGGUAGGUGGUCCCAAAAGUCUGCUAUGAAAUCCCCGGGCUUAACUCGGGAAGUGCGGCAGAUACUCUGGGACUAGAGUACUGGAGGGGUUCGUGGAAUUCCCGGUGUAGCGGUGAAGUGCGUAGAUAUCGGGAGGAACACCAGAGGCGAAGGCGGCGAACUGG
rnacentral:rRNA from 1 species